rnacentral:rRNA from 1 species
UGGAGAGUUUGAUCCUGGCUCAGAUUGAACGCUGGCGGCAGGCCUAACACAUGCAAGUCGAGCGGGGUUUUCGGACCUAGCGGCGGACGGGUGAGUAAUGCGUAGGAAGCUGCCCGAUAGAGGGGGAUACCAGUUGGAAACGACUGUUAAUACCGCAUAAUGUCUACGGACCAAAGUGUGGGACCUUCGGGCCACAUGCUAUCGGAUGCGCCUACGUGGGAUUAGCUAGUUGGUGAGGUAAUGGCUCACCAAGGCGACGAUCUCUAGCUGGUUUGAGAGGAUGAUCAGCCACACUGGAACUGAGACACGGUCCAGACUCCUACGGGAGGCAGCAGUGGGGAAUAUUGGACAAUGGGCGCAAGCCUGAUCCAGCCAUGCCGCGUGUGUGAAGAAGGCCUUCGGGUUGUAAAGCACUUUCAGCGAGGAGGAAGGGUGGUGUGUUAAUAGCACAUCAUUUUGACGUUACUCGCAGAAGAAGCACCGGCUAACUCUGUGCCAGCAGCCGCGGUA